UGGGGAAUCUUGGACAAUGGGGGCAACCCUGAUCCAGCCAUGCCGCGUGGGUGAUAAGGUCUUCGGAUUGUAAAGCCCUUUUGGCGGGGACGAUGAUGACGGUACCCGCAGAAUAAGCUCCGGCUAACUUCGUGCCAGCAGCCGCGGUAAUACGAAGGGGGCUAGCGUUGUUCGGAAUUACUGGGCGUAAAGCGUGCGCAGGCGGCGCGCCAAGUCAGAGGUGAAAUCCUGGGGCUCAACCCCAGAACUGCCUUUGAGACUGGCGUGCUGGAGUGCGGGAGAGGUGAGUGGAAUUCCCAGUGUAGAGGUGAAAUUCGUAGAUAUUGGGAAGAACACCCGUGGCGAAGGCGGCUCACUGGCCCGUAACUGACGCUCAUGCACGACAGCGUGGGGAGCAAAC
rnacentral:rRNA from 1 species